GAUGAAGAACGCAGCGAAAUGCGAUAAGUAAUGUGAAUUGCAGAAUUCAGUGAAUCAUCGAAUCUUUGAACGCACAUUGCGCCCCCUGGAAUUCCGGGGGGCAUGCCUGUUCGAGCGUCUCAGGGACGAACCCUCGCGCGGGUGUACGCGCGGUCGUGGCUGCGGUGGCGUGCCCGAGGCGGCGGCCACCGCGCUGGAAUCCAUGGGCGGACGCCUGCCGCGUGGCCGAGCGUGAUAUGACGCAUUGGCGCUCGCACGCGGCGAGGCUGCCAGCCCUGGCCCGUCUGUCGGGCGGGGGAGAGCAAGACACGUGAACUCCUCGGAUCAGGUAGGGAUACCCGCUGAACUUAAGCAUAUCAAUAAGCGGAGGA
rnacentral:misc_RNA from 1 species